rnacentral:rRNA from 1 species
GAUGAACGCUGGCGGCGUGCCUAAUACAUGCAAGUCGAGCGAACAGAUGAGGAGCUUGCUCCUCUGACGUUAGCGGCGGACGGGUGAGUAACACGUGGAUAACCUACCUAUAAGACUGGGAUAACUUCGGGAAACCGGAGCUAAUACCGGAUAAUAUAUUGAACCGCAUGGUUCAAUAGUGAAAGACGGUUUUGCUGUCACUUAUAGAUGGAUCCGCGCCGCAUUGGCUAGUUGGUAAGGUAACGGCUUACCAAGGCAACGAUGCGUAGCCGACCUGAGAGGGGGAUCGGCCACACUGGAACUGAGACACGGUCCAGACUCCUACGGGAGGCAGCAGUAGGGAAUCUUCCGCAAUGGGCGAAAGCCUGACGGAGCAACGCCGCGUGAGUGAUGAAGGUCUUCGGAUCGUAAAACUCUGUUAUUAGGGAAGAACAAAUGUGUAAGUAACUAUGCACGUCUUGACGGUACCUAAUCAGAAAACCACGGCUAACUACGU